GAUGAACGCUGGCGGCGUGCCUAAUACAUGCAAGUCGAGCGAACGGACGAGAAGCUUGCUUCUCUGAUGUUAGCGGCGGACGGGUGAGUAACACGUGGAUAACCUACCUAUAAGACUGGGAUAACUUCGGGAAACCGGAGCUAAUACCGGAUAAUAUAUUGAACCGCAUGGUUCAAAAGUGAAAGACGGUCUUGCUGUCACUUAUAGAUGGAUCCGCGCUGCAUUAGCUAGUUGGUAAGGUAACGGCUUACCAAGGCAACGAUGCAUAGCCGACCUGAGAGGGUGAUCGGCCACACUGGAACUGAGACACGGUCCAGACUCCUACGGGAGGCAGCAGUAGGGAAUCUUCCGCAAUGGGCGAAGGCCUGACGGAGCAACGCCGCGUGAGUGAUGAAGGUCUUCGGAUCGUAAAACUCUGUUAUUAGGGAAGAACAUAUGUGUAAGUAACUGUGAACAUCUUGACGGUACCUAAUCAGAAAGCCACGGCUAACUACGUG
rnacentral:rRNA from 1 species